rnacentral:sRNA from 1 species
CUCUUCUUCUUCUCCUCCUUCA